AGUGAACGCUGGCGGUAGGCCUAACACAUGCAAGUCGAACGGCAGCACAGGAGAGCUUGCUCUCUGGGUGGCGAGUGGCGGACGGGUGAGGAAUACAUCGGAAUCUACUCUGUCGUGGGGGAUAACGUAGGGAAACUUACGCUAAUACCGCAUACGACCUACGGGUGAAAGCAGGGGACCUUCGGGCCUUGCGCGAUUGAAUGAGCCGAUGUCGGAUUAGCUAGUUGGCGGGGUAAAGGCCCACCAAGGCGACGAUCCGUAGCUGGUCUGAGAGGAUGAUCAGCCACACUGGAACUGAGACACGGUCCAGACUCCUACGGGAGGCAUCAGUGGGGAAUAUUGGACAAUGGGCGCAAGCCUGAUCCAGCCAUACCGCGUGGGUGAAGAAGGCCUUCGGGUCGUAAAGCCCUUUUGUUGGGAAAGAAAUCCAGCUGGCUAAUACCCGGUUGGGAUGACGGUACCCAAAGAAUAAGCACCGGCUAACUCCGUGCCAGCCGCCGCCGUAA
rnacentral:rRNA from 1 species